GUUUCUGUAGUGUAGUGGUUAUCACGUUCGCUUUACACUGCGAAAGGUCCCUGGUUCGAAACCUGGGCAGAAGCA
rnacentral:tRNA from 1 species